rnacentral:lncRNA from 1 species
AAAACUGCCUUAAAAACACUUUCUGGACAGUUUUGAACACAAACACAAAUUUGGACGAAAUUGGGUUACAACUUGAAUCGAAACACUUAAAAACACAAACUAAAUGGAUUUCUAACUAAUCUAACACUUUAAAAUAAAGGGGGAUUUGGUUUUGACGAAAUUAAAAACAAGACAAAACGUUGUAAUUAAAACAGAUUGUAAAACGAAUUAGGAGUUUAAAUGGAUGAUGGAUUAGUUAGAAGCUCUUUCUCCACACAUGACACGUAUGCAAACGACUCGAUUUCCAGUUAUUCCUUCAUAGAAUUUUGAAUGACAUUGCCCCAAAUUAACCGUGACAUCACUAGCUAACUCUCAGAUUUUCCUUGUAUUAUUGGAUUGGAUGGCAUCAUUCGACAACCCAAAGCAUUCUUCAAAGGUCCCCUACAUGACAUCAUAAUAGAGAUACGAUCAAAGAUCAUUACGUUCAAUGAAAACCAUAAGCAAUGACAAAGCACUUGCAACUAUGACAUCAUGUCACUCAUGCUAGGAAUUGAACUUAACGCGAUUGUGACUAGCAACCUUCACUACAUAUGAAUAUAAGUUUGUAACGAUUAUGUGAAACAUCCUUAUACUCUAGCAUCAGAUUUAUGCAUGCCAAUUAAGUGUCGACCCCUAAUUAACACACAAAUAAGUUAUUAAUCAAAUAGUUAAACCAAUUGCAUUCACGAUUCAAGAAUUCAUAACUGGAAUUUAUCAAAUCAAAUUGCACACAUAGUCAUGGCUUUGAAAUCACCCCUAACCAAUAGGGGUUUAGCCACUCAUGUUCAUAGCAAAACGAAAAGAAAAGAAAUUACACAUUGAAAUCAUAAAACGAAUUACACCUAGAAUGCACCAACAAUGAAGCUUGGACAUCCAAGGGUCCUUCCUUCUUCCUUCUUGCUGCGGCACACAAGUGGGUGAGUGUAUGGAUUGUGUUUAGGGUCAAAAGUUAUGGAGAUUGGUGAAUGAGGGGCACGGCAAAGGGAGGUUGGAUGGUUUCUGCGUGAAUGGGAGUGAAUGGUUGAUUUGUGGCUGCAAAAAGGAAGUUUAUAAAAAGGGAUUUCAGGAAUUAAACCCUAGGUUAUUUAGGUAAAUAGAAAUUAAGUCAAAAGCUUCUAGAAUUAGGGAAACAAAUCAGAAAUUUAAAGGAAAUAAGCUAAAAGGUGCGGCAUGGGAUUAAAACACAAAAGGAAUGUGUUUUAAUUCAGAAAAUAGGAAAGAAUCACUCUCCCUUGCACGGCAAGGAAGAGGAAAGGUCAGAAAUCCCUCACAAGGUGCGGCAUGGGUUUUAGGGAAGGUUAGAUGUCCUAAAACUGAAGGGGAAGUGGAUCCCUUGCACGGCAAGGAAGGUGGAAUAUGGGGUAAGUGCGGCAAAGGUCCCUAAGGGUUCUAGGGCCUUUGUUUUGUGUCCUCAAGUGCAUAUGAAGUCCUCAAAGUGGCUGGAACAUAAGUAUUUUUAGAAUUAGGAAAUGUCAAACCAAAAUAGGAAACCUUGGCUUAACUUUCCUACUUCAAGUAGGAAUCCUUGUUCUUCUAGAAAUCUUCAUGUGGUUAGGAAUCCAUCUUCAAUUAGGAAUCCUUCGUCAAUUAGGAAUCCUUCGUUGAUUAGGAAACCUAAUUUCUUCAAGUCUUCAAUUCAUCCAUUCCUUUUGCUCCAAAAGGCUCCAAAUUACAUCAUUUUGUACACUUUGGCCUUAGAAUCUGAAAACACACAAAAGUGACUUUAAACACUAAAAUAACUAAAGAAACACAACGUAAAAGCACGAGAACAAGCCAAGUAAGUAUCAUAAAUAUGCUCCUAUCAUAAUGCAAUUGGCUUAACUAUUUAAUUGAUAACUUAUUUGUAUUUGUUGAUUAAGUGUCGACACUUAAUUGGCAUGCAUAAAUCUGAUGCUAGAAUAUAAGAAAGUUUCACAUAAUCAUUACAAACUUAUAUUCAUAAGUAGUGGAGGUCGCUUAUAAACGAUCGCGUUAAGUUCAAUUCCUAGCAUGAGUGAAAUGAUGUCAUAGUUGCAAGUGCUUUGUCAAUGCUUAUGAUUUUCAUUAAACGUAAUGAUCUUUGAUUGUAUCUCUAUUAUCAUGUCAUGUAGGGAACUUUAGAAGAAAGUUUUGGGUUGUCGAAUGAUGUCAUCCAAUCCAAUAAAACAAGGAAAAUCUGAGAGUUAACUAGUGAUGUCAAGGUUAAUUUGGAGCAUUGUCGUUCAUAAUUCAAUGAAGUAGUAACGGGAAAUCGAGUUAUUUGCAUAUAUGUCAUGUGUGGAGAAAAGCCUUUAGCUAUCCCAUCCAUCAUCUUAUUUCUCAAAUUUGUUUUACAAUCUGUCUAGUUUUUCAUACUUGUUUGUUUGUUUCAACUUCAUCCAAAUCAAAACCCCCCUUUUAGUUUCUUGUUUCAAAGUGUUUCAAAUCUGUUUUAGUUUGUGUUUUUAAGUGUUUUGAUUCAAGUAAAAGUCAAUUUUCAUCCAAAGUCAUUCCUAGUGUCUAGUUUAAGUUUAUUUGGUUGUUUUAAGCUAUUUUGAGUAUUUUAAGUUUGUUUUGAGUCUUGUGAGUCUUGUUAAGUGUUUUUAAGUUUAGUUUUAUGUUUUUGAGUCAGUUUAGAGGUUAUUAGCAAGCCCUCCUAAUCCCCGGUCCAGAACGAUCCCUACUUAUACUUGUACUACAAUUGUCAAAAGAGGGUUAAAUUUGUGUGUUAAGAUAAUUUUCGCAUCAAUGAGCAUGAUACUCUUGCCAAGAAUUCACUUAACGCGAUCGUUUAUAAGCGACCUCCACUACUUGUAAAUAUAAGUUUGUAACUAUUAAGGUGAAACUCCCUUAUAUUUUAGCUUCAAAUCCUUGCAUGAAAACUAAGUGUGCACUCUUAAUAAACAUACAAGAAUAAGUUAUCAAUCAAACGGUUAAGCAAAUUGAAUUCACAACUUAUGAAAUAACAAUCGAACGUAAUCAAUUCAUUACGCAAGUAUAAUCAUGGUUUUGAAUAGCCCCCUAGCCAAGAAGGGCUUAGUUCCUCAUAAUCGUAAAACAAAGAUAAGCAAAUUUAUACAUUAGAAACAAAAGAAAGAAAACACUAAAAUGCUCCAAUGAUCCAAAUUGGACAGCAUGCACAUCCAGGCAAUUUCCUUCCUUUCCUUUGCUGCGACACAAGGUGUGAUGGUGAGUUUUGGGGGUUAUGGAUAGUGUAGAAGGAUGGGUUUAUGGUUAGGAUAGAUGUAUGGUGCGGCAAAGGUUUGUUGUGGUCAGGAAUUAUGAAGAAUGGUGAAGGAUGGGUACGGCAGAGAGUGAGAGAUGAUUUCUGGCGUGAAUGGGUGAGUGAAUGGAUGGAUUUAGAGAGGGUGAGUGUAGAAUGGUGAAAAUGGUCCCCAACAGAUGCGGCUAAGGUCUGUAUUGAAAAGCUUUUAGGAAAAUAAAGCUAAGAAAUAAAAUAGGUAACAGAAAUUAAACCAAAACUUAAAAAGAAAUAGGAAUUAAAGUCAAAAUCCUAAGGAAAAGGUAAGGGGAUAUGCGGCAAUGAAGAAUAGGAAAGGAGAAUCCAUUGCCAUGCAAGGGAAAGGAAAAAGGAAAGGGAAAAGGGUGCGGCAUAGGGUUUUAGGACUUCUAGAAGUUCUUAUUUAGAGUCUUAAUGUGAUUAGGAGUCUUCUUUGUUGCUGGAACUUAGGGACUUUUAGGAUUAGUAAAGAUUAAACCAAAGUAGGAAACCUUGGCUUAACAUUCCUUCUUCUUGUAGGAAACCUUGUAUGAGUAGGAAUCCUCAUUCUUCUAGGAAUCCAUCUUCAAUUAGGAAUCCUUGCAUCUUUAGGUCUUCAAUUUUGUCCAUCUCCCUUGCUCCAAGCAUAUGAUAUUCAUUUCAUGCCCAAAACUGCUCCAAAAAGCACUUCUUUGCUUCUUCAAUCUCAAUUAGCUAAUCUUCCUUCCAUUGUAUCUCAGAUGGCCGAAGGAAUGAGGAUGCAAAGACCAAUUGUGUGUGGCGUGUGUUCUAUCCAAGGAUACUCCUCUGAAAAGUGCCCUUAAUUAAUUGAGAAUAGUGGAUGGGAAAACGCUAUGUUAUUGGAUUUCAAGGCCAAAACCAGCCAAGGAACGAUCCAUACUCGAACACAUAUAAUCCAGGUUGGAGAGACCAUCCAAAUUUCAAGUUGUGGGAGCCCUAACAAACCCAACAACAAGGAGGCUUUAGUCAGCAACCCCCGGGCUUCUACACAAAGCCAUACGAACCUACACAAGCCCCACAACAAUCUGCCCCAAACACUUCAGGUACUUCUUUGGAUAAUGACACACUUACUAAGUUAUUCACCAAUUUGUCUCAGGGCAAGAAAAUCAAACCAAAGCAAUGUAAAACCAAGACAAAAGGGUGGAUCAAUUGGAGAAGCAAAUUGGGUAGAUUGCCGAGUUUGUAGGGCAGUUUUGAGACUAAGGAAAACUUCCUAGUUCAACCAUUGCAAAUCCAAAGGAAAGUUUUGAAAUGGCCAAGGUAAUCAUCUUAAGAAUUGGCAAGGAAGUCGGGGCAGGUUCACAACCAUCAAAAUCAGUUCACAAGGAAGAUGAAAGAUUGCAAAUUGAAGAGAGGGAAUACACUCAACCCAUGGCAAGGGUGGAAACAUCUUUGCCGCAGGUCCCAAAUGCUCCUAAACCAUCAAAUAUGUCCAAUAAAGGUAAGAAUGUGUCAAAUUCAAAUCCUACUAACGUUAUUCCAUCGAAUGUACCUUUUCCUCAUAGGUUCAUGCAAACAAAGAAAGAGGAAGCUGAAAAGGACAUUCUGGAGACAUUUAGGAAAGUUCAAGUCAACAUUCCACUCCUUGAUGCAAUCAAGCAAGUGCCAAGGUAUGCUAAGUUUUUUAAAGAACUUUAUACAACUAGGAAGAGAAUUUCGAACAAGGAGGUUGUAAAGGUAAGUGAAAAUGUCUUAGCCAUCUUACAACGUAAAAUGCCCCCUAAAUGCAAGGAUCCGGGUAGUUUUACAAUUCCUUGUAUUAUUGACAAUAAUCGUUUUGAAAAUGCUAUGCUAGACUUAGGUUUAUCUAUUAAUGUCAUGCCUUACUCAGUUUAUGCAUCUAUGAACCUAGGUGAGUUAAAAAAUGAUGGUGUGAUUAUUGAAUUGGCCAAUAGAUCUAACGCCUAUCCAAAAGGAGUUUUGGAAGAUAUUUGGUGCAGGUCAAUCAAUUAAUCUUUCCGGCGGACUUCUACGUACUUGACAUGGAAGGCUCGGACCGUUCUCCUACAUUGCCAAUCCUCCUUGGAAGGCCAUUCAUGAAAACUGCCCACACCAAGAUCGAUGUGUUUAAAGGAACAUUGACAAUGGAAUUUGAUAGGGAAGUUAUUGAUUUCAAUAUUUCUGAAGCAAUGAGAUUUCCUAGUGAUGAUCAUUCUUGUUUUUCUAUUGAUAUAAUUUAUUCUUUGGCACAGGGAUAUCUUGAAGACUUGAAUGACGAUGCACUUGAAACAGUCAUUACAAGUGGAAUGAAACUCAACAACAAAGGGGCAGAACCUAUGCUAACCCAUGGCCUACAUGAAGAAUUCCAUGUCGUGCCCCCUUGUGAGGAAUUAAUUGAGAUGGUUGCUUCCCUUGAAUCAUUGCCAAAGCAUGAUGGUAAGCCUUCUAACUUCGAGUCAAUUCCUGUUUCGACUAAUGAAAUGCUUCCUUCAGUAAUUCAGGCACUUAACCUUGAACUUAAACCAUUACCAAGCCAUUUGAACAUGCCCCGUCAUUGUCUUUUCCUCCCUCACGGCACAAGAAGAAGAGAAGUUAGUGCGUGUCUUGAAUGAGUUCAAAUCUGCCAUAGGUUGGACCUUGACCGACAUCAAGAGGAUAAGCCCUACCACUUGCAUGCAUCACAUAUUUCUUGAGGAGGGGGCCAAACCAACUAGAGAGGCUCAAUGCCGUCUUAACCCUCCGAUGAUGGAAGUUGUGAAAAAAGAGAUUAUCAAGUUACUUGAUUGUGGAGUGAUCUAUCCAAUCUCUAAUAGCCAUUGGGUUUCACCAAUUCAAGUCGUUCCAAAGAAGUCUGGAAUCACAGUAGUGAAGAAUGAAGAGAACGAACUUGUGCCCACCUGUAUCCUAACCAGUUGGAGAGUUUGCAUAGACUAUAGGAAAUUCAAUGCCACAACAAGGAAUGACCAUUUCCCACUGCAAUUCAUUGAUCAAAUGCUUGAAAGCUUAGCGGGUCAUUCAUUUUAUUAUUUUCUUGAUGGAUAUUCUAGUUACAAUCAAAUUGUCAUAGCCCCAAACAAUCAAGAAAAGACCACUUUCACUUGUCCUUUCGGAACGUUUGCUUAUUUUCAUAUGCCAUUUGGUUUAUGCAAUGCACUUGCCACAUUCCACAGAUGCAUGGUAAGUAUUUUUUCCAAUUAUGUUGAAAAGAUCAUUGAAGUCUUUAUGGAUGAUUUCAGCGUAUUUGGUGAUUCAUUUGGUGAUUGUUUGGCCAAUUUGACUUUAAUCUUGAAAAGAUGUAUUGAAAGUAACCUUGUGUUAAAUUGGGAGAAAUGUCAUUUCAUGGUUAAACAAGGUAUAGUUUUGGGCCAUAUAAUCUUUGAACGUGGAAUUGAGGUGGAUAAAUCAAAAGUAGAUCUUAUACGUCACUUACUGAUGCGUAAAAUAACUAAACACACAAAUUAACCCUCUUGUUGACAAUUGUAGUAUGGAUAAGUAGGGAUCGUUCUUAAAUCGGGGAUUAGGAGGGAUUGCUAAAACACUCUAAACUGACUCAAAUAUGUAAAACAAAGUUUAAAACACUAAACUAGACUCAAAGAAUGCAAAACUAAACUCUAAAACAUUAAAACAAACCAAAAGACUCAAAACAGCAAACAAACACUCAAAACUGCCUUAAAAACACUUUCUGGGCAGUUUUGGGACUCUAACACAAACUUGGACGAAAUUUGAUUUUCUAAUGAUCUAAAACACUUAAAAACAUAUUCUAAGACAAGUUCUAAUUAAUAUGACUCAAAGAAAUAAGGUGGGGUUGAUUUUGGAUGAAAAUAAAUAAAACAAAGCAAGAACAAUGUAAACAGAUUCUUAGACAAAAUUAAGUGAAUUGAUGAGAUAUGGGGUAACUAGAGGGUUCUUCUCCACACAUGAUACACUUGCAUUCAACUUUGAUUUCCAAUUGCUUCUUUCAAUAAACUAUGAAUCUCAACGCCCUAGGUUAACUGUGAUAGCACUUUUUUAACCUUCAAGUUUUCCUAAAGUUAGUGAAUUGGAUGGGAAUGCACAUGCAACAACUCAAAACAUUCUCUAAAAGUCCCUUACGUGAAAAGCACAAUAAAGGUACAAUCAAAGAUCAUUAAGCUUCAUGAAAACUAUAAGCAUUGACGAGGCAAUUGUUACUAUGAAAAGCAUGAAACGUUUGCCAAGAAUUCACUUAACACGAUCGUUUAUAAGCGACCUCCACUACUUGCAAAUAUAAGGUUGUAACUAUUAGGUGAAACUUCCUUAUAUUUUAGCUUCAAAUUCCUGCAUGAAAACUAAAUUGGCCACCUUAAUCAACACACAAAAAUAAGUCAUCAAUCAAACGGUUAAGCAAAUUGCAUUCACAAUUCAUGAAAUAACAAUUAGACGUAAUCAAUUCAUCUUGCAAGCAUAAUCAUGGUAUUGAAUAACGCCCUAGCCAAAAAGGCUUAGUUCCUCAUGUUCACAAAACAAAGGAAAACAGAUUUAUACAUUGUAAAUAUAAGAAAGAAAACACCUAAAUAUUCCAAUGAUUCGAUGUUGAACAGCUAGAACCUUCAAGCACUUCUUCUUCCUCUCCUUUGCUGCGGCAUAAGGGUUGGGGGUGAGUUUAGGGAGUUAUGGAUGAUGUAGAAUGAUGGGUUUAUGUUUAGGAUAGGUGUAGGGGUCGGCUAGGUAUGUUUCUGGGCAGAAAAUAGGGUGAAUGGUGGUAGAAUGGUGCGGCUAAGAGUGGAAUGGAGGUUUUUGGCGUGAAUGGUCAGUAUCUGGAUGAUUUGUGGCUGCACAAAGGGAGUUUAUUUUAAAGGAUUUCAGGAAUUAAAACCCUAGGUUAUUUAGGUAAUCAGAAAUUAAGUCUAAGGCUUCUAGAAAUAGGAAACACAAUCAGAAAAUGAAAGGAAAAGGCAAGGGGAUAUGCGGCAAGGUCCUAAAACACAUUAGGAAUGUGUUUUAAAGCAUAGAAUCAGGAAAUAACCCUCUCCCUUGCACGGCAAGGAAGAGGAAAUGUCAAGGGGGUGCGGCAAGGGUUCACAAUGUGCAAGAGAUGUGUAUUUGAUGUCCUAGAAUGCUUAGGAUGCCUUCAAAGUUGAUAAAACUUAGGAACAUUUAGGAAAGGUCAAACCAAAGUAGGAAACCUUGGCUUAACUUUCCUAUUUCAAGUAGGAAUCCUUGUUCUUCUAGGAAUCCUUAUGUGAAUAGGAAUCCAUCUUCAAUUAGGAAUCCUUUGUCAAUUAGGAAUCCUUCGUUCUUCAAAUCUUCAAUUACGUCCAUUCCUUGUGCUCCGAGCAUGUGAUAAUCAUUCCAAGCUCCAUUUUGCUCCAAAAGGCUCCAAAAUGCAACUUCUUGCAUACUUUGUC